rnacentral:lncRNA from 1 species
ACUUACUGGAUGGUUUCAUAAGAACUUCCCAACCUCACCCCACGUACAACAGUUUACACUAUAAUAACCUCCAAAAUUGACGGUUUUUGGUUGGAGUAAAGCAGUUCCAUAGUUAUGGUGGUUUCUUCACCAUCCCGCUCUCCGUGAUUUUUGAAGUGUGUUUCUCUCCUCGCCUAUAAAACCCUUAACCCACACUAUGUGCUCAAUCACCGUGCCCUCCAACAUCAGAAUCAUCCUUAUCUCUCUCUCUCUCUCUUAUCCAUUGGAGCGGAUCAACGUUACACCUGACUAAAUACAUCGCUUCAAUAGCUUAUUAAAGAAUCAUCGUUGCUUCCUAUCAGCAAUUUCAAAAGAACAAACCCUAGGUUCUGGGAAGAUAACUGGAUGGUUUCGGUUCAAUUGGAAGCUUUCCUAAUGACAGUAAUGUGUAGUUUCUUGCUUCCCAACUCUAAAUUUACCUUUGAUUUAAUCCUUUUCCAAUUUUGUGAUUCUUUUUUUUCGACUAUGUGAUGCAAUGUAAAGAGAAGGGUUGAAAUUAACUAUGUUUUUCUCUCCUAAGGUACACUUCAGUUUAAAAGAAUUUGUGAGUAAAUCCAUAGCAGAGACAGAGACAGUGGUAGCUAAAUCAUUUUGGUUAUUGUGAGAUGUGGUUAUUCUUUUGCAUUUUAGGGAUGCUUUGUUUGCAACAAAAAGUUGUCACUCUUUGCAGGAGUUGAAGCGUUUCCCAUCACUCAAAGCUGACAUAGCAUCAACUGCAAAUGAAACACUGGAAAAGUACCCUGAUGAAAGCCAAAAGCCGACUGUUCGACUAAUCUAACUAUUUAUCAUCCACAUACAUUUGUUAUAGAGGAGGUAAAAUGGGAAAUUGGUGGGUAUAGUAUAUUUGUUGACACGUUGUCCCUUUUUUAUUCUAAAUUACAGUUAGUUUAGUAAAACGAUGGUCAUGUCACUUUUAGUCCAAAUUGUUCACUCAUUGAUGGUAUAUUCGCCCUUUUUACCAACAUACGUUAAAUCUUUGUUAAGUUUAUUUGAAAUAGCAUAAAUUUAUCCCAAUAACUGAACUGAUUAAAUGUGUUCGGUUUUGAGUCUAACCUUUAAUUGGGUUCGGGCAUCUCAUGUCACUUAUUAACCGAGUCGGGCGUUUUCGGUGAUCGGGUCUCGGUUAAUAAGUGACACGAGAAGCCCGAACCCAAUUAAAGGUUAAAAAUGACGGGCCUAGCUGUUGAUUUUAUUGAUGGAAAGUAUAACUAGAGUGUGAUCAAUGUCAUAUGAAAGCGUAAAAGGGUACUUAUAUUUUAUUUUACCUUUUGAAAAACAAAAAACUAAAUAUUUAGCAGCCAUGAUGAAAGCAUGUAGUCAUGUUAAGAACAAACAGUUCAAUUAGUUAAACUUAGGUUUUAUUUGGUAUAGCAUAUGCUUUAGUUAGUGCUUGCAUUAAAAGAAAAAUAUAAGUUUGUUCUUUAAUAACUGAAAUGAUCUUAAGUUUGCAACUGACUCAAAGCUUUGGAGGUGGAACCUGAUGUAAAAAUCUUAGUUUUCCUUGGGUAGGCUUGAGAUAGCUCUUUAACUUCAUUGAGAAACAAGUGCAAUUGAGAUCUACCCCAAACAAGUAAUGCAUAUUAUUUUAUUUUUAUAGUUUUUUCAAAUACUAUCAGUUGACGUUAUCAAACAAGAACUUCUUUGUAGUCAAUGCCUAACCAUUUCACGUUUCAAUAGUUCAUCGGUUACUUUUUUCAUUGUGUUGUGGUUUUUUAGUGUAAUCCAUCAAGUAUGUACUCAUACAUUUAAUGUAUGAUACUGUUAUGUUAAACAAAUACUGAUUUCUAGAAAUUUUAAUUGAAGAUAUUAGUUUUUUUUUUUGAACAGCUAAUAAUUUUCACCCCUAUUCCACCUUUGGUGGGUUUCGAACUCCUACCUCCCCCAAGUGGGUAUUUUUCCCUCUACCACUAGGCUACAGCCUAAGUGGCAAUUGAAGAUAUUAGUUAUUUACCAUAGUAAAAAUGACAAAAAAGACAUAUAUUAGGCUUGACAUCAUACCUGUAACUGAUGAAAGCUCUACAAAAGCUUGUGCCUAAUGCCUACAAGGUCAGAAUUUAAAAUAAGACUGCAGGGUGUUGAAUAUGAAGUU